rnacentral:lncRNA from 1 species
AUGUACCCCCUUGUCCCCACCGUGUCCCUUCAGGCUGCAGUGAUGGACCUGGACCCACACAGUGAGGGGCUCUACAGCCAAGACCCCCCAAGACCACCGUGUGUCCCAGUGUGCCCCCGCCCCAGGGAAGAGGCAGUCUCAGGUGUCCCCAAGAGAGGCAGUGUCCCNNNNNNNNNNNNNNNNNNNNGCAGUGUCCCUGUGUCCUGCCCUGUUGUCCCCUCAGGUCCCCCUCGGGGGAUCCCACAGCUGGAGGUGCUGCUGAGGCAGGUGCACAGCCUGCAGAAAGUCCGUGAGGCCACAGCACAGGAGCUGGUGAAGGCACAGGACUGCAGUGAGGGGUUGAGCCAGCAGCUGGAGCAGCUGGAGCAGCACAAGGAGGCACUGGAGAGGUCCUGGCAGCAGGUGCAGGAAUCACUGCAGAGAGCACAGUGGCAAGGGAAGGAGGUGGAGGCCAAAGGUCAGAGGCGCUGUGGGCUCUGUCUGGAGCAGCAGCAGCACCUGGAAGGGACAAAGCAGCAGUGGGAGCAGCUGAAAAACCUGCGCCGGGAACACAGGAGGCAGCACUGCCAGCAGCUCGAGGCCGUCAUGAAGGAGCUCAAGCACCUGCGUGUCACACACGCUCCAGCCCACGUGAAGGCUGAACUGGUGCAGCUGGAGAAGAUGGAGGAGAAGUGGCUGAGCUGGGGUGAGCCCCUGACACCUGAGUGACCCCUCCAGGAUCCCCCUCAAGCACCUGAGUGUCCCUCCUGACACCUGAAUGACCCCUGUGACACCUCUGGGCACCUGAGGGACACCCUUGGACACCUCAGUGCCAACACCUGAG